rnacentral:rRNA from 1 species
AAUAGAUACCCGGGUAGUCCACGCCGUAAACGAUGAGUGCUAAGUGUUAGAGGGUUUCCGCCCUUUAGUGCUGCAGCUAACGCAUUAAGCACUCCGCCUGGGGAGUACGGUCGCAAGACUGAAACUCAAAGGAAUUGACGGGGGCCCGCACAAGCGGUGGAGCAUGUGGUUUAAUUCGAAGCAACGCGAAGAACCUUACCAGGUCUUGACAUCCUCUGACAACUCUAGAGAUAGAGCGUUCCCCUUCGGGGGACAGAGUGACAGGUGGUGCAUGGUUGUCGUCAGCUCGUGUCGUGAGAUGUUGGGUUAAGUCCCGCAACGAGCGCAACCCUUGAUCUUAGUUGCCAGCAUUUAGUUGGGCACUCUAAGGUGACUGCCGGUGACAAACCGGAGGAAGGUGGGGAUGACGUCAAAUCAUCAUGCCCCUUAUGACCUGGGCUACACACGUGCUACAAUGGAUGGUACAAAGGGCUGCAAGACCGCGAGGUCAAGCCAAUCCCAUAAAACCCAUUCUCAGUUCGGA